AUUUUCGUACACAAGAAACUGCUGUAAGUCAGUAUUUACACCCGAAUUACAGUCGCGACGUGAAAUUAUACUUUUCUAACUUAGAGCUCUUCUGUAACUAGAAACAGAUAACAAUUCAACAUUCGAAACGGCGGUCAACACGAACUCUACCUCAUCAUGACCGCCAUUUUUACAGUACCGGGAACCGAGACAAUUUCUGCCUUUGAGGCAUGUUGAGGAAGCUGGUUAAGGAAUCCAGACCCAGAGCGACAGACAAAGGCUCCAUCAAUAACGUCAUCGUGAAGUUGUCAGCGGUCCACGGAAAUGAUGCCUCAUAACAUUUAUUUAGGACUUGUUUCUUGUCCAGCCCCAAUACAUUGCUGUAUUAUUGCCGAAUGCCUUAAUUGUUCCAUGGAGAAUAAACCUGUCAGAAACACG